GCGGAGGGCGAAACCGCACGGUGCGGUCGUGGCUUGACACACCAACGGCCGCCUGAUGAAGACGGCGAGGUUCGACUCCUCCGCCCUCCGCA
rnacentral:tRNA from 1 species